rnacentral:rRNA from 1 species
UACGGAGGGUGCGAGCGUUGUCCGGAAUCACUGGGCGUAAAGGGCGCGUAGGCGGUUUGUCGCGUCUGCUGUGAAAACCCGAGGCUCAACCUCGGGCCUGCAGUGGGUACGGGCAGACUAGAGUGCGGUAGGGGAGAUUGGAAUUCCUGGUGUAGCGGUGGAAUGCGCAGAUAUCAGGAGGAACACCGAUGGCGAAGGCAGGUCUCUGGGCCACUACUGACGCUGAGAAGCGAAAGCAUGGGGAGCGAACAGG